rnacentral:rRNA from 1 species
UACGUAGGGUGCGAGCGUUAUUCGGAAUUACUGGGCGUAAAGCGCACGUAGGCGGCUUUGCAAGUUAGAGGUGAAAGCCUGGAGCUCAACUCCAGAAUUGCCUUUAAAACUGCAUCGCUUGAAUCCAGGAGAGGUGAGUGGAAUUCCGAGUGUAGAGGUGAAAUUCGUAGAUAUUCGGAAGAACACCAGUGGCGAAGGCGGCUCACUGGACUGGUAUUGACGCUGAGGUGCGAAAGCGUGGGGAGCAAACAGG